CUGCUGGCCCACUGUCCUCAACUCCACAGGCGCCGUCCCGACACAGUGAACUGUCCCAGUUAUUGUUCAGUCACCGUCUGCGAUAUGAGAGAAGAGGGUCAGUGUGCUGUGAGAGUGCUGGGAGGCUGGGAGCUGAAGGUGGAGGACUUGCGUUGGGCAAUGGUGAGACAUGGAAGCAGAGUCCUCAAUUUACUCUCAAGAUGUUGAGGACCUUUGGGAUGGGAGAAGGAACACUGAGGACCGUGUCCAGGAGGAAGCCCAGUAUCUGGCAAAGGCCCUCGCAAAGACAGAGGGUUGGUUUGUGUUGGUGUCUUUUGUCGGCAUGUGCUCCCCACAGGCCAGUCCCCCAGUGGAAGUUCCAUUUAGUGCUCUUGUUCUUUCCUAAGAUCCAUGACACUCCUGCUGGUACUGCUUUCCCGCUUUUCUAUCUGGAAACUAUACACCUCUCCUGCUACUGUUACUUUAAAGGGGAGCAGUGUGGGUGGAACCUGUGUCCAUGGGAAUCUUUCUUGAUUUUUACAACUUUAGCUCUUGCCAGGUCAGCCCUUGGGCCCUGCCUUCAGCCUUGCUGUGUUCCCUCAACAUGAUCUGCUCUGUCCUCUUCAGUGAGCGCUGUGACUAUAAGGUGAGGAAUUCCUGCAACGGAUUGGUUGUCGAAGGAGUUCUUUUCCAUAUCAAGCUCUUGCUGGGCCCAGGAAAAAAACAACCCAUGCACGUUCUGAAUUUAACUUCGAGAACCUAGAAGCCACUGCAUUGGGUCUGUUUGGCGCUACACGAGACGAGAUGGUUGCCACUAGGCCGCAGCUCUCGCUGCUGUUCCUGCCGCCGCUGAGGGUAAUGUUCACAAGGAAAUUGACAGAUUGAGGCCCAGGACUGAUGCUCCUGCAUGAGCGACAGGACCCAGAUGCCCCACACAGAUGCUGUGGUGCAUGAGGUCCAGAGAUACAUGGAUACUCUCCCCUCCAGUCUGCCUCACGCUGCAAUCCGCGACACCAAUUCAGACAGUUCUUCACUCCUAAGGUCCUUCCAGUUGUGGCAUGUGGGACGCUGCCUCAGCGUGGUUUGAUUCGAACCAACGAAACACUGGGCCGCCUGCAGCGGAGUGCACAAACUUAACCACUCGGCCACGGGGCCAGCCCCGAGACAAUAUUUUAAAAGAUAACUUUUGUGGUCUCCUUUUUUUUUCCAAAAACAAGCUUAUGCCCAAUCUUCACUUGUAUAUCCCUCCGAUUUACAUUUUCCUUAUCACUUUGUAUUUCUUCAAGCACGGAUUGCUUCUAAAGUGAUGUCCUAUGCAGUUAUUGCAUAUUUAUAUGUACAGUAUGUAUCCUCAAUCUAGAUUUACAUAUACAAUAUGUAUCAUCAUCAUAUAUUUACAUCUUCAUUCAGCAAAAUAGAAGUAUUAUAUACUCAACUUUAAUGAUUUUAUUUAUGAACAAUAUUUAUCUUCUCUUUCAGUUCAUUACUAAUUGUUUUGGUUCCAUUUGUAAGCCCUUAAUAAGAAAUAAUUUUGCUUCUCUUCAAAAAGUAUCAAACAUACAAUUUCUUGAAUUUAGUCCUUCUGUAUAUGGUUUCACAAAAUUUCACUCUAUCGGUCAGAUUUCCUGUUAUGUUCUCAAGGCUUGCAGUUGCUCUGGGUACUGGCUCCUGCGAGGAUGUGAAAGCAGGGCCAAGGACGUGUGUCUUAGGGUCUCUGUUUACAGAGAGUAAAAGCCAAGGAGCCAGGAGGGUGUGUUUCACGUUGAUCCCGUGGGCCACAGCCCCACCCACUGGCUCGGAUACUUCACCAUCAACUGUCCCAAUUCCCAGAAGGUAUCAAUCCUCCCAGAACUAGUCCUUCAACAUGUACAGUGAAUGUUAUUCAUACGAAGUGUCGCGAUUGAGCUCAUUCCCCUCAGAGUCAUAUGUGCCACCUGUUAUUUCAUCUACUAACAAAUGAUGCUGGGCUCUCUGGAAGGAAGUCCGUUAUUUAACUAUUAGAUUUUCUUGGUUUCAUGGAACAACUGUGUUAACCAUUGCUGUCCUCUGUCUUACACGACAGUAAAGGGUUUUUGAGCCCACAAAGGUUUGAUGCAAAACAUUUUCUGGAUAGAAAUAGGAAGAGAGAUAAGUCAGACAGAGAAAGACAAAUGCCAUAUGAUUUCACUCAUGUGGAAGAUAAACAAACAUAUGAAUACGGAGAAUAGAUUGGUG
rnacentral:lncRNA from 1 species